GGACACACGUGUAUACAGAGAGAGGUGCGCGCGCGCACACGCAACGUCGUACGCUUCCAACUUCUCCUCCUUCUCCUCCUCGCUCCGUCUUCGUCUCCUCGUCGAACAACUCGCUCGCUCGCUCUUUCUACCUCCCCGCGCGUAUUCCAGUUUCCCCUCUCUUUUGGCCACCUCCCCACCAUGGAAAACCCUCUACCCCCCGACUCCGCGUACCCGGCGGCUUUAUCCACCCUGAACCCUCCCGUAUAUAUAUACGCGCGAGGGUUGCCUCGACCGAUCGGACGCUCGCGAGUACGACGCAAAUUCUCUCCUCUCGCUUUCAUAUUCUUAUUCCGCUUUCCAUUUUUCUUUUACUCAAAAUCCCCACAAGGAUGGUACGCGCCCACUUAACUUACAAAGCUCGCAAUCUUGGCGCGCGCCUACCUCGAGCUUUUCCUCUUUGCGAUCGGAUAUUUUCGGAUUUGGACGCCACGCGAACACCGCUAGACUCUCCUCUCCUUUCCUUUAUUUCUUCUUCCUCGUGCUCGAUCUUUCGAAAUAAUUGAUUUUCGAUGUACGAGAAACGUUAGCGCCUGUCGUUGAUGCGAUAUCAAAUGUACGUAUCGAUCGAUCGAAAUGAAAACUCUCAAACUCGGUGAAAAUCCGACAGCCGUGCCCGUUUUUCGUUGUCUUCGCAGCGAGAACCGAAAUAGACUGAAGCACGCGUAGAAUGCGUAAAAGAAGGAAGAUAUUUCGUAUAGACGUUUAGGACAAAAGCAAGGAGAAAUUUUCUUUUUUAAUUAAUAAAUGACGAAAGUCCAAUUUCCCUAAUGGACGAUAAAACAAAAUGAAGAAUGCAUAGCGAAAGUAUUUUGUUUUCGAUUCUUGUAAGAAGCCGUGCUAAAAGUACUCGGUCCCUUUGAGGAAAAAAGAAAGUUGAUUCGAUAGAAUCGACUGUUUAAAGACAAAAGUAAUACGUUCCGUCAAAAUGUCCAGAAUUUAUUCUCUCGUCCUUUCUCGUAGUUUAUUACGAUCGCAGCUCUUUUGUCGAUAGAACGUGUCGGCCAGUAAUGUCAGCGCUAUUCAAUAUUCAUAGCUAUUAGUCAUCGAUAAAUUCGGAGAACCGAUACUUGGCUCUUUGUAAAAAUUAAACAAAACCAUCGGUCCUACUCUGAAUGGACGACAAAGAAGAUAGCGCGACGGAGGAGCAAGGAGGGAGCGACAUACGCAACGAGACGGUAAGUCGUUCGUCUUGAGAAGGAGCUCUGAGAAGAACACGUAGGGGCCUUGGAACAUGAAACUGCUGUUCGUUCGAGAAGUGUCGCAAUACGAUGAGCAGAGACUGCAACGGGGCGCUGACGUAAUCGUUCGCCGCGUUUAUGCGUACACCACACCGUGAAAGAGAGCAAGAUUGCUUCUCUCUCUCUCUCUCUCCGUCCGUCCGUACUUCGCUGCGUUCGAAAUUCAACUAAUGCUCCUAAACACAGUGCUGAACAAUUCGAGAACAGGAUUCUAUUCGAUCGAACGUUAACGAAAACAAAUUUAACCGAGACUCGUAACGAGCGAUUCGUUGAUUGUUGAAAUCUUUCUACGGUAAAAAUAUCUCGAAUAACGAGACAUAUUGCCAAGUCAAAGAGAAGGUUUCGUCAAGUUCGCCUUCGUUUAACCGCCCACUUGUUAUCGAGAGUUCCUGAUUAAGGUCAAUGUAAAGACACGAACGAGAUGGGAACGUAAUGCGUUCGAUGACGGAAGAAAAGGGAGUUUUACGUAGAAAUCCUUGGCUCGUACUCGUAAAAAAGCACUGCGGGCGGUUCAAUCUGCGGACCCCACCUAUGGUUACUUCUGCCUUCAAAAAUUCAAUAUUAGCGGAGCAUCCAUUUUUUUAAAAUGAUUCCAUCGUAUAUAUAAUGUAUUUUGUUUCUUGGGAGCACGAUCAAAUCGCUAAUAGCGAUUAAAAGAAAAAGAGCUCGCUGUAGGCGUCUUUAAAAACAAUAGUUUAUUUAUUAUUCGUUUAAUCGACGAACGUAACUAGUUUUCUUUUAUUGUUCCUUCUUUUUUUGUUGUUUUUUUCUUAGACAUGCGUAUUCAUAGUCUAAACGAAGUAAUAAAUAAGUUUUAAAUAAUUGCAUUGGAAUGACUUAAAAUAAAGUGUGAUAGUAGAGAGAUUGAGUUGCGUGACUCAUUCGUGAUAAGAUAUCUGCGAACUAGGGUACAGGCCUUUAUCGAAUGCAAAUGAAUAAUAUCUUAAAGUUUCAAAUUAAAAUAUCUAUUAUACGUGUAUUUGACUAGGGCCCGUAGUCUUACAAUCUAACAAAAAAGCGAUAUACUACCUUCGGUAAAAAUUACUCGCGUAGACACCUAUAUGGAUAUAUUUUACAAGGCACUUAUUGUCGAAUUUAUUUAAAACUAUCAGUAAAUUGUCUCGUAAGAAAUAAUAACGUCUCUUAAAUAAAUGAUAUCGCAAUAAUUAUUGUCGAUACCGUAA